CUGCAUUUAAAUGCAUCUAAACGAUCCCUUUAAUUCAUUGGCCCCAAAUUGAGACAAGGAUUCUCUCUCUCUCUCUCUCUCUCUCUCUCUCUCUCUCUCUCUCUCUCUCUUCGAAUCCUCACGUCACAUAGCCAGAAUUGGUAAAGUCGAGGACCCACGGCGGUCCUCGCAUGGUAGAGCAGAGACAAGAAAGAUCGUGUAGAAGGAGGCAAGGUUCUGAAUUUCAUUCUCGACGAAAGGCUGCUCGGAGAAAGGAGUUUGGUUAUUGGAGACGCUUCGAAAGACAAGGCAACGUGUGGGUUCGUGGCACCUGUUCGGCUGCCAGAUUUGUUUCAGGUGAUUGAUCGAAGCAUAUGUGGAAAUACGCGGUGCCUAUCUGGAAGACCUCCUCCCAUUUCAUUUCGGGACAGAGAUUGAGUUUUAGAAUGUAGUGGUAAUCUGAAAUCAUUAGUCACUCUUGUACUAGUCUAGACCAGGUCAUGGGAAGUUGGAUCGAGUCUGUAUUUGUUACAUCGUUGUAAUUAUAUUAAAUCCUGAGUUUAUUGCAUGUAUUAUGAAGCUUCCGCUGAAUUUCUAAGUAUCUACUGAUUUAAA